rnacentral:rRNA from 1 species
AACGAACGCUGGCGGCAUGCCUAACACAUGCAAGUCGAACGAGACCUUCGGGUCUAGUGGCGCACGGGUGCGUAACGCGUGGGAACCUGCCUUUAGGUUCGGAAUAACUCAGAGAAAUUUGAGCUAAUACCGGAUGAUGUCUUCGGACCAAAGAUUUAUCGCCUUUAGAUGGGCCCGCGUUGGAUUAGCUAGUUGGUGGGGUAAAGGCCUACCAAGGCGACGAUCCAUAGCUGGUCUGAGAGGAUGAUCAGCCACACUGGGACUGAGACACGGCCCAGACUCCUACGGGAGGCAGCAGUGGGUAAUAUUGGACAAUGGGCGAAAGCCUGAUCCAGCAAUGCCGCGUGAGUGAUGAAGGCCUUAGGGUUGUAAAGCUCUUUUACCCGAGAUGAUAAUGACAGUAUCGGGAGAAUAAGCUCCGGCUAACUCCGUG